UGGGGAAUAUUGCACAAUGGGCGAAAGCCUGAUGCAGCGACGCCGCGUGGGGGAUGACGGCCUUCGGGUUGUAAACCUCUUUGAGCAAGGAAGAAGCGAAAGUGACGGUACUUGCAGAAGAAGCGCCGGCUAACUACGUGCCAGCAGCCGCGGUAAUACGUAGGGCGCAAGCGUUGUCCGGAAUUAUUGGGCGUAAAGGGCUUGUAGGUGGCUUGUCGCGUCUGCCGUGAAAACUCGAGGCUUAACCUUGGGCGUGCGGUGGGUACGGGCAGGCUAGAGUGCGGUAGGGGAGACUGGAAUUCCUGGUGUAGCGGUGAAAUGCGCAGAUAUCAGGAGGAACACCGAUGGCGAAGGCAGGUCUCUGGGCCGUUACUGACACUGAGAAGCGAAAGCAUGGGGAGCGAACAGG
rnacentral:rRNA from 1 species